rnacentral:rRNA from 1 species
GUGGGGAAUAUUGGACAAUGGGCGAAAGCCUGAUCCAGCCAUGCCGCGUGUGUGAAGAAGGUCUUCGGAUUGUAAAGCACUUUAAGUUGGGAGGAAGGGCAGUAAGUUAAUACCUUGCUGUUUUGACGUUACCAACAGAAUAAGCACCGGCUAACUUCGUGCCAGCAGCCGCGGUAAUACGAAGGGUGAAAGCGUUAAUCGGAAUUACUGGGCGUAAAGCGCGCGUAGGUGGUUCAGCAAGUUGAAGGUGAAAUCCCAGGGCUCAACCUGGGAACUGCCUACAAAACUACUGAGCUAGAGUACGGUAGAGGGUAGUGGAAUUUCCUGUGUAGCGGUGAAAUGCGUAGAUAUAGGAAGGAACACCAGUGGCGAAGGCGACUACCUGGACUGAUACUGACACUGAGGUGCGAAAGCGUGGGGAGCAAACAGGAUUAGAAACCCGUGUAGUCC